GGGUGGGGGAGAGAGGAGAAAGAGAAAAAGAGGGAGAAGAGUUACUCUUGUGCAUUGUAAUGCAACCUUUAAACAUUUACUAGCAACAUAUUUGGCUGGAAAAUAUAAAUUGCAAGAGACUGCAGAAAUUAGUGAUUUUCUUGCAGAGUAAAUGCACUUUGCACAAACAUGAGAAUCGGGCCCCAACUUACUCUUUUAUUUUAGUUUCAAAAUCUCUAAGCGUUCAACAGGUUUAAACCUGCCUCAGCCACUGCCACAUUUUCUACUGCAUGUUUUGCUUCACACAUGAACAAAUGGCUGACGUCCAUAGGCCGCCGGUGCCAGCGAUCUGGCAGUGCAUUUGUUGCAUUAGGCAGAGUAACAGCGGUUCAUUUUCCUAUGCCAGUUUUCUCUUACAUGUUCAGUGUUCAACCUGGAGCAUUAUGAAUGCAUUUCCAGGUGCUCGGAAGUGACUUAAACUCUAAAAUCUAAAUUUGAAGUAGAAAUAUGCCUUUAACUAAGCCAUGGUUUCAUUACACUUGUAGAUUUCACCAACUACACUGAGUAAUAUGUUAACUUUAACUUAGAAUGCCCUCUCUAUUGUCGACUGAAUUGCAUCCUUUAUUACGCUCUCUAACCUUCAUUCCUAUGGAACCAGCACCUCUCUUAAGGACGUUUCUUAGAGGUCAACACCUACAGCCUUCCACCUCGCCUGACCUCCAGUUGGUCUCUGUUUAUCAGGGAUCAGACACAGCAAGCGUCCCAGUGACAUACUGUGAGCAAGCACAUCAUUACAGGUGGUAGUCAUUAGGAUCUCUGCACAAGUGUACUAUGACAAAGGAAAAAAAAAGGAAGGGAAGAUUGAGUGACGUACUUCAGGAGAAGGCCAGCCCCUGGAGAGACCCUGCAGUGGAGUACUUGCUAGAGUCCACAAAAGACUGGUCUGAUAAUGGACGACAACAGGGAAUAAGAAAGGAAAGAAAGAAAAAGGAUGGUAUUAGGACUGGCAUCACCCAUUGCCCUGGUCAGAAUAAGGAAACGAGAGGGAAUCCAGAUCACGCAGGCAACACAGAGGUCAUGAUUGAAGCAUUUUCUGAUUCAAUGGAUUAGGCAUUAGCAGAAUGACAGAUCUACCAAGAAAACCUCCCAAAAUAUCACCAGAAUAAAGAACCAGGGCUGAGAGGUGAAGUGCUAUUCUGAAGAGGACUUUGUUCAUAAAUAUGAAAUUAUACAUUGCUUGAGUAUUUUAAAUGCAUCACUGGCAUUGCUUCCAAAAGGAGAUGUCUCAUCAAUCAUGUUAUAUUAUGAAUUCAGAGUGUGCAGAUUCUAUGACAGUAAAUUCAACUUAAUAAGUAAGUACAGCAUACUUCAAUGGUAUUUGCUACAUUAUUAUUAGAGUACAAAAUAAUAACCAGUUAGCAAUUCUUAAAUUUUAAGUACUAGUUACAUAGGUAAAUAUUUUCUUCUAAAUUUGCAGCUGUUAAGAAGCCUUGAAGGUAAUAUUUUCCUCUUUUAAAUUUUGAAGUCUAGCAAUGGAAGUCAGAAUAAUUAAUUACUGCUGUUACAACACUAACCUUAAGAUUUCAUAGAGUCCUAAAAUCACAGAAUGGCUUGGAUUGGAAGGGACCUUUAAGAUCAUUUAUUUUCAACCCGUCUGUUACAGGCAGGGACAACUCCCACUAGACCAGGUUGCUCAACCUUGCUAUGUUCAGCACUGCUUCUCCUGUCCAUGUGAGGGUCUCAGUUUAUAAACAUAUUUAUAGGACAAGACCUUCUGGCCUGAUUCUGAUUGUAGCUUUCUGCAGAUGUCUGUAGGCAGGUCCUAUUCAUUUAAUUUUCUCAAGUGAAUAGAGA